rnacentral:rRNA from 1 species
AGUGAACGCUGGCGGUAGGCCUAACACAUGCAAGUCGAACGGCAGCACAGUAAGAGCUUGCUCUUACGGGUGGCGAGUGGCGGACGGGUGAGGAAUACAUCGGAAUCUACUUUUUCGUGGGGGAUAACGUAGGGAAACUUACGCUAAUACCGCAUACGACCUACGGGUGAAAGCAGGGGAUCUUCGGACCUUGCGCGAUUGAAUGAGCCGAUGUCGGAUUAGCUAGUUGGCGGGGUAAAGGCCCACCAAGGCGACGAUCCGUAGCUGGUCUGAGAGGAUGAUCAGCCACACUGGAACUGAGACACGGUCCAGACUCCUACGGGAGGCAGCAGUGGGGAAUAUUGGACAAUGGGCGCAAGCCUGAUCCAGCCAUACCGCGUGGGUGAAGAAGCCCUUCGGGUUGUAAAGCCCUUUUGUUGGGAAAGAAAAGCAGCAGGUUAAUACCCCGCUGUUCCGACGGUACCCAAAGAAUAAGCACCGGCUAACUUCGUG